GACGAACGCUGGCGGCGUGCUUAACACAUGCAAGUCGAACGGAAAGGCCCUGCUUUUGUGGGGUGCUCGAGUGGCGAACGGGUGAGUAACACGUGAGUAACCUGCCCUUGACUUUGGGAUAACUUCAGGAAACUGGGGCUAAUACCGGAUAGGAGCUCCUGCUGCAUGGUGGGGGUUGGAAAGUUUCGGCGGUUGGGGAUGGACUCGCGGCUUAUCAGCUUGUUGGUGGGGUAGUGGCUUACCAAGGCUUUGACGGGUAGCCGGCCUGAGAGGGUGACCGGCCACAUUGGGACUAAGAUACGGCCCAGACUCGUACGGGAGGCAGCAGUGGGAAAUAUUGCACAAUGGGCGGAAGCCUGAUGCAGCAACGCCGCGUGCGGGAUGACGGCCUUCGGGUUGUAAACCGCUUUCGCCUGUGACGAAGCGUGAGUGACGGUAAUGGGUAAAGAAGCACCGGCUAACUACGUG
rnacentral:rRNA from 1 species